ensembl:lncRNA
CUCCCCUGACCUCCUCCAGUGUGUCAUUCUCCUUGUGUGCUGCCUGAGUGCUGUGUUUAAGCUGUCACAAUGCACAGGCUCUGCUGAGCUUUGGGCUUUAAUUUACUGUUGCUGUGAGUAAGAGCCAGUAAUAAAACCAGCACACAGAAAAUAUAACAAAUGUUUUCCUCCUCUGCAGACGCUCCACGAGGCCGGACCAGCACCCACCGUGCUGAGAGCCCAGGCAAAGCACAGCCUGGCACACCAGUUCUCUCAGUGGGGAAGCAGAGAGCUGGAGAGUGUGGAAUUGGGGUUUUUAAGGCGUCUGCUAAAUGUGACGUUACGGUGUGGCUCCUGGUGGUACCACAGCACAGAUUCCCAUCAGCAGUCUCUGCCAGAGGUGGCAAUCUUCCUUUCCCACAAGAGCACGGUAAUGCUGGCCGCACACCCACCCCAGCCUGGGGCAUGGAGCACUGCCAAGCCGCCUCUCUGACUGCUGUCAGGGCACCGAGGGGAAAAGGUGAUAUUAGCAAUUAGAAUAAAAGCAUUUGCAUGUAUAUAAAAGAAGAAAAGGAAAGCUAAACCAAAGCGCUACUAAUACGCAUCUUGGUUAUAGAAGCGACGAUACCAUAAGUCUAUUUAAUUUCUGUCUCAGGAUUGGUCCUGGGGACAUCACCCCCGCAGGAGCAGCCCUGGGCGCACACCUGGGGCGUGAGCGUUACUCAGAGCUCACACGUGCUGCUGUCACAGGUAAUUGGCUCAGCCUCCAUCACUGUCCUCCGCUGCAGCUGGAGCCAGCAGGGGCGGCUCUUAAUUAAAUCUGGCACCAUCAGGGGGUGAAGGACGGGAACGCAGUGCAUCACGAAGCGGACAGGCCUCCAGCUCUGGAAACGCCAUCGGGGUUGUCAGCAAGGAGCAAUGGUUCUCUCUGACACAGCCUCAAUAGAGAAACGUGCUGUGCUGAGCCUGAGCUCCCCAGGACAGCGCUGAGCUGAAGGCAGCACCCACCAGGUGCGAGUGCUGAGGAAGCUCCUGGAAAUAGCUGGCUUUGGAAACCUCGUCCUUAGCUGUGCCAUCUGCCCCGGGGAUGGGCUCAGCAGCUCCAGCGGUCCAUGCUGUCCUUGCAGGGAUGAGCACAGCCCCAAAGUAUAGCGACUGAAGCAGUGCAUAAUUCAGGAUCGUAAAACACUUCCAAGUGUGCAUUAAUUAUAAAUAUAUUGUAAAUGACAGUUUUUUUCCUCGAAGAAGGCACAUUAGAUGUGAUGCAUGGCCCCAGAGGAGUGUGUCAAAUGAGGCUGGUGCCCGCCUGGAGCAGCCUGACCUGCCUGUGUAUUCCCAGGCACGAUGCGAUGAGCUCCAUGCAGUGCCCAUAGUGGUGGGCAGUUGGGAGUUACCAGAGAAGCUCUGCUUGCCCCCAGUGCCCACACCCCACUGUGCCUGGGGAGGAAGAGCGCGGUCAGCUGGCACUUCUACUUCAUCUUGGUCGUGUGUGCACCCAUCUCUUCGUAGAUGCAAAACUCAGUUUCCUCGUGGUGCCUCAGUGGACCAUCUCUGCUCUUUGGGUGUGAAUGCAGCAAGGCUGCAUGGCGCGUUGGCUCUCCCAUGCUCAGAUGUGAUGGUGAAGGGUAUGUGUGCUGCCUUCCUUUUCCUCAGCCCCAUCACGGUGCUUCCAUCUGUCACCUGGUGUGGAUCUGUUCCUCUGGUGUCUGACACGGCAGGCCUGGACUGGGAGCUGAAAUGGUUAGAAGAGGCUGAAGGGUGACUGCUCUCCUGGCUGCAGAGCUGGGGGACACCAGGGAUCCCUGAACCACUGCCCCAUGGCUUGGCCACGGUGCUAACUCUCCUGGUGGCUGUGAAACCCCUCUGUUCUGCUCACUUCUCUGCUGGAAAUAGAAUGCUUUUAACAAAAAAAUCUGAAAAGCUUUUAGAGCUGGGCUGGCAAUGUGAUGCACCCAUGGGAUUUCGGGGGUAAUGAGGUGGGAGGGAGCUGUUGCAGAGGUUGUGUGAGCAUCACAGAGCAGUGCCAGGCUGUGGCCGUGGGGCUGCAGCAUGUGCUGGGUGGUUAACAUUUCAGUUCCCAAAAGCAGAGGGGAGAGCUAAGCCUUGCAGAAGCAUUGGAGUUUGCACUUCUGGAGCCCUUCUCUGGUGAGAGCAAUGCACCUUUCAGUGUUCUCCAUGUAUCAGGAGAGCUUUCCUAAGUGCCAAAGAGCUGCCUUUUUCUUUCUUUUUUUUUUUUUCCUCAGCGCAAAAUGUGUGGCAGGAAAGAACUUCUGCUCUUGACUGAGGAUGUGGUCAGCUGUGGAGCUGAGCUGGGGGUUUAAGGCAACCCACCUGGGGAGCUGAGUCCAGGCUGUGCCACGCUGCUGGGGAGCUGCUGAUUGUGCACAGAAGGCAAGUCUGAGCGCCGUGCCGGCCCGGCGCGCUGUUGGGGCAGGCAGAGCAUCCUGCUGAGCCUGGCAUCUCCCUACACCUCCAGCAAGCGAGCACAGCCCAGCUUGGCACAUUGCUUGAGAGCCUCAGGUGCAAAUCACACAGAUCUGCUGAUGGAGGAACUGCACAGAUCCACCCGUGAUGCUCCCCACUGUUAGCAGCCCAGAGAGUAUUGCACCACCUCAUGUCUGACAUUGCCAGCCUUUCUAAAAGCAGAAGGGAACGGUGAGUGCCUUCUUGCCAGCAGUGCACCUCUUCACGUGGAAACACCACGGCUCCUCUGUGCUGGGAGAUUCCUAAUUUG